AGGCUUAGACAGCUAGGAUGUUGGCUUAGAAGCAGCCAUCAUUUAAAGAAAGCGUAAUAGCUCACUAGUCGAGUCGGCCUGCGCGGAAGAUGUAACGGGGCUAAGCAAUUCACCGAAGCUACGGGUACUGAUGCUUGCAUCAGUGCGGUAGAGGAGCGUUCUGUAAGCCGUUGAAGGCGAAGGGGUAACCCACGCUGGAGGUAUCAGAAGUGCGAAUGCUGACAUGAGUAACGAUAAAGGGGGUGAAAAACCCCCUCGCCGAAAGACCAAGGGUUCCUGUCCAACGUUAAUCGGGGCAGGGUGAGUCGACCCCUAAGGCGAGGCUGAAAGGCGUAGUCGAUGGGAAACGGGUUAAUAUUCCCGUACUUCUGCUAACUGCGAUGGAGAGACGGAGAAGGCUAGGCCGGCGCGGCGUUGGUUGUCCGCGUUUAAGGUAGUAGGUGGUGUGCUUAGGCAAAUCCGGGCACACAUACACUGAGAGCUGACGACGAGUCCCUACGGGGAUGAAGUGGUUGAUGCCAUGCUUCCAGGAAAAUCUUCUAAGCUUCAGGUUAGCAGGAAUCGUACCCCAAACCGACACAGGUGGUCGGGUAGAGAAUACCAAGGCGCUUGAGAGAACUCGGCUGAAGGAACUAGGCAAAAUGGUACCGUAACUUCGGGAGAAGGUACGCUCCUGUUGGUGACGAGACUUGCUCUCUGAGCUGACGGGAGUCGCAGAUACCAGGUGGCUGCAACUGUUUAUCAAAAACACAGCACUGUGCAAAAUCGCAAGAUGACGUAUACGGUGUGACGCCUGCCCGGUGCCGGAAGGUUAAUUGAUUGGGU
rnacentral:rRNA from 1 species